UAGUAGGGCCAUAUCACAAAGGUCUUCUGGGCCUUUGGCUUUUCUCUUGAUGAAAUGGGAAGCCAUAGGAAGAGUAGUGGGUUUUACACAAAGCAUAAUAUAAUUUGCCUUCUUUUUGAUAAUAUACUGAAGAUUGGCAAGGACAGAAGCAGGCAGGCAAAUUAAAAGACUGUUAAAAUAAUGCAGGUGAGCAACAAAGGUAGCUUGGGCCAGGGUUGUUGUAGAUGUUAGUAAUAAAUGAUUCCAUUUUGGUUAUUUUUUUAAGGAAGAGCCAAUAUGAUUUGUUAACAGAUUUAUGUGAGGUGAAAGAAAAGAGAGGGAGCAAAGAUUACAUCAAGGUUUGGUCCCAAGUAGCUGGAAAUAUGGAGUUAUCAUUAACUGAGAUUGGGAAAGAUUACACAAGGAGCAGAUUUGGGGAGGGAGUGUUAGAAGUUUAUUUUGGAAUAUGUUGUUUGAAAUGACUAUUAGUAAUCUAAGUGGAGAGUUUGAAUAGACUAUUCAGUAGACAAUUCUGGAUUCAGGGCUGGAAAUAUAAAUUUGGAAAUCGUUAGCACAUAGACAAAAUGAAACUAGAUGCAUAAUCAAGGGACUGAAUGUAGAGAGAAAAGAGAAAUUGUCUAAGGACUGAGCCCAGAAGUAUGCCAAUAUUCCUCAGAGCAUCUGAGGAACAAAAGAGAUUGGGUAAGAUAAUAUAGGAAAGCCAGGAGAAUGUGGUGUUCUAGAAGCCAAGUGAGGAAAGCUGUACAAAGAUGUGGAAGCAAAUACCUGUGAAGAUUGCUGGGAGAUCAAAUAAGAUGAAAAUUGACAAUUGACUAUCAGGUUUAGCAUUAUCAAGGACAAUGCUAAUUGUGAUCUAUGCUAAUUAUAUUUUACUUACUUUAAUGUCUCAUUUAGAUAUUUAUCUGUUUUGGAAAGUCCUCUCUGACCCUGCAAAGCUGAGUUAAGAACCCCUCAAAGUGCACCAUAUCACACCUGUAAUUUUACAGUCAUCCUAAGGUUUUGAAGUUGCCCUUUUACUUAUCCGUCUUCUCCUCUAAACUACAUAUGCCUCAAGGGCAAAGACUUGAGUGUGAUCACUAUUGUACCUUGCACAGUAACUGGCAAAGAGUAGGGAUGAUAUUUGCCAAAUAAAAUUUAAUUGCAUUGCCUCUCAUUUGUGCCAGAAAAGGCCAUCCCUGCCAGGUUAAAAAAAAAAAAAAAAAAAAGAGGGUGGAUAACAGGGAGUAGCCAGAUCUAGUAAGUAUCAGUGACGCAUCCUUGGAUGACAAAGACUAAGGUUUUCACCUCAUUUGGUUAAAUUCCGAUGCAGAGAAGCUUGUUAUGACAAUCCAAAAUGAGCUUCUAAUGGAAUAUUUAGGUGUGCCGGUUACCUGGGGGCAAGAGAACAGCCCAAAGCCAGCUAAGCAAAUUAGUGAGCAGGUGUCAUUAGUCAGCCAUGCCCACCUCAAGGAUACCUUAUCAAUGGAUAGCUUGUAAUUUUCCUAAAGUUUUCAUAAAAGAGGGGUCAACAAAGGGAGUGAGAUGUGCAUAGUUCAACUCUAAAUUGCUAACUGAAAAGUUGGCCAAGACUUCAUUGAAAUGAAAUGUUUUUGUUGGAAUCAAGUAUUACGAACUGGUUUCAUUAUUUCUAGAGAUUUAUAUAUUAUUUUUCAUAUUUGCUUUUCGUGUGGAAAUAUUCCUAAAAAUAGGCUGUAGGACUGUUAUAAUAGUAAUUAAAUUAGCAAUUGCAUAAUGGUGUUAUUGAUAAUCAAAAGAUUAAAUAGUAAUUGUAGUAGGUCAUUUCGAUUUUAAAGAAAGUAAAUGGCAUACUCUAAUAAUGAAAACUAUUCUAACUCUAGGUUUUGUUUCCAGGUCUUAUAGAAGACUGGAAUUCUUCUUCAAGCAGAUGUUCAUCAACUACUUCUAAGAAUUUGUGCUUAUCAUGAUUAAACUAACUUUAAGAACAACAUUUAAGGAUGAUAAACAGGAACUGGAAGAAAAAGGAAUGCUUCUGAAGGGGAGCAGAAUUUGCCAACUGAAAAUCUGACUCUUUGGCUUACAGAUUAAUUUUAGGCUGAUUAUCUUUAGCAAGAGACAUAGGAAAGCUCUGAAAACUGAAAAGAAGUUUCUCUUUUGUAAAAGACAUCGCGACAUGUAUAAGAGAUGUCUCUUUUUCUAAGGGUGUCUCCCUGAUGCACCAGACAGAGGGAUAACUCUUAAAUUGCUAGAAAUCCUUAUCAACAGAGGAGGCAAUGACAUGAAUCUGCAUAACAACCUUACCCUUUUUGACUGUGCUUCUCCUGGUAAGCUCUCAUAACAGCCUUCCUUUCUUACCCCCCAACAUCUUCUUUUGUCUUUAACUGGAGAUAUAAUUUAAAGUGGUGGAUUAGGCCAUUCCAGGAGCUGCUCAAUUUUCCAGAGUAACUCCCAUGUGUACAGGAGGCAUAUGUGUUACUAAACUUUGGUUUGUUUUUCUCCUGUUGUUUUGCCUUUUCUUACAGGGAGUCCCCUCUAAGGAGAAACUAGAAGGGUAGAGAAAAAAGUAUUUUACCUCCCAUCAGUCCCCAACUUAUGUAAUGAGGCCAGUAUUACUCUGAUGCCAAAACCAAAGUCAUUGUAGGAAAAGAAAACUACAGAACAGUAAUCCUCAUCAUCUUAGAUGCAAAAAGCCUUAAUAAUAUAUAAGCAAGUCAAAUCUAAUAAAAUACAAAAAUAAUAUUUUGGUAUGAUCAGUAGAUAAAAGGUAAAUUCAACAUUUGAAAAUUAAUGAAUAUAAUUCA